UUGAGCGCUGGCGGUAUGCUUAACACAUGCAAGUCGAACGGAAACGAUACUAGCUUGCUAGUAGGCGUCGAGUGGCGGACGGGUGAGUAACGCGUAGGAAUCUGCCUGAUAGUGGGGGAUAGCCCGAAGAAAUUCGGAUUAAUACCGCAUAAUCUAUUCGUAGUAAAGUGGGGGACUUUCGAGCCUCACGCUAUCAGAUGAGCCUGCGUAAGAUUAGCUUGUUGGUAGGGUAAAAGCCUACCAAGGCGACGAUCUUUAGCUGGUCUGAGAGGAUGAUCAGCCACAUCGGGACUGAGACACGGCCCGAACUCCUACGGGAGGCAGCAGUGGGGAAUAUUGGACAAUGGGGGCAACCCUGAUCCAGCAAUACCGCGUGUGUGAAGAAGGCCUGAGGGUUGUAAAGCACUUUCAAUUGUGAAGAAAAGUUAGCGGUUAAUAACCGUUAGCCUUGACGUUAACUUUAGAAGAAGCACCGGCUAACUCCGUGCCAGCAGCCGCGGUAAUACGGAGGGUGCAAGCGUUAAUCGGAAUUACUGGGCGUAAAGCGUGCGUAGGCGGUUUAUUAAGUCAGAUGUGAAAGCCCCGGGCUUAACCUGGGAACUGCAUUUGAAACUGGUCAACUAGAGUAUGGUAGAGGAAAGUGGAAUUUCUGGUGUAGCGGUGAAAUGCGUAGAUAUCAGAAGGAACAUCAAUGGCGAAGGCAGCUUUCUGGACCAAUACUGACGCUGAGGUACGAAAGCGUGGGUAGCAAACAGGAUUAGAUACCCUGGUAGUCCACGCCGUAAACGAUGAUAACUAGCCGUUGGGGGGAUUUACCCUUUAGUGGCGAAGCUAACGCGUUAAGUUAUCCGCCUGGGGAGUACGGCCGCAAGGUUAAAACUCAAAGGAAUUGACGGGGACCCGCACAAGCGGUGGAGCAUGUGGUUUAAUUCGAUGCAACGCGAAGAACCUUACCUGGUCUUGGCAUCCUGCGAACUUUCUAGAAAUAGAUUGGUGCCUUCGGGAACGCAGUGACAGGUGCUGCAUGGCUGUCGUCAGCUCGUGUCGUGAGAUGUUGGGUUAAGUCCCGUAACGAGCGCAACCCCUAUCCUUAUUUGCCAGCACAUCAUGGUGGGAACUAUAAGGAGACUGCCGGUGAUAAACCGGAGGAAGGCGGGGACGACGUCAAGUCAUCAUGGCCCUUACGACCAGGGCUACACACGUGCUACAAUGGGAAGGACAAAGAGCCGCGAAGCCGCGAGGUGUAGCUAAUCUCAUAAACCUUUUCGUAGUCCGGAUUGGAGUCUGCAACUCGACUCCAUGAAGUCGGAAUCGCUAGUAAUCGUAGAUCAGAAUGCUACGGUGAAUACGUUCCCGGGUCUUGUACACACCGCCCGUC
rnacentral:rRNA from 1 species